GACGAACGCUGGCGGCGUGCUUAACACAUGCAAGUCGAACGGAAAGGCCCUGCUUUUGUGGGGUGCUCGAGUGGCGAACGGGUGAGUAACACGUGAGUAACCUGCCCUUGACUUUGGGAUAACUUCAGGAAACUGGGGCUAAUACCGGAUAGGAGCUCCUGCUGCAUGGUGGGGGUUGGAAAGUUUCGGCGGUUGGGGAUGGACUCGCGGCUUAUCAGCUUGUUGGCGGGGUAGUGGCUUACCAAGGCUUUGACGGGUAGCCGGCCUGAGAGGGUGACCGGCCACAUUGGGACUGAGAUACGGCCCAGACUCCUACGGGAGGCAGCAGUGGGGAAUAUUGCACAAUGGGCGGAAGCCUGAUGCAGCAACGCCGCGUGCGGGAUGACGGCCUUCGGGUUGUAAACCGCUUUCGCCUGUGGCGAAGCGUGAGUGACGGUAAUGAGUAAAGAAGCACCGGCUAACUACGUG
rnacentral:rRNA from 1 species